CAACGCGAAGAACCUUACCACGGCCUUGACAUGCAGAGAACUUUCCAGAGAUGGAUUGUGCCUUCGGGAACUCUGACACAGGUGCUGCAUGGCUGUCGUCAGCUCGUGUCGUGAGUAUGUUGGGUUAAGUCCCGUAACGAGCGCAACCCUUGUCCUUAGUUACCAGCACGUUAUGGUGGCACUCUAAGGAGACUGCCGGUGCAAACCGGAGGAAGGUGGGGGAUGACGUCAAGUCAUCAUGGCCCUUACGGCCUGGGCUACACACGUGCUACAAUGGUCGGUACAAAGGGUUGCCAAGCCGCGAGGUGGAGCUAAUCCCAUAAAACCGAUCGUAGUCCGGAUCGCAGUCUGCAACUCGACUGCGUGAGGUCGGAAUCGCUAGUAAUCGUGAAUCAGAAUGUCACGGUGAAUACGUUCCCGGGCCUU
rnacentral:rRNA from 1 species